rnacentral:rRNA from 1 species
UACGUAGGGUGCGAGCGUUGUCCGGAAUUAUUGGGCGUAAAGGGCUCGUAGGCGGCCAACUAAGUCAGACGUGAAAUCCCUCAGCUUAACUGGGGAACUGCGUCUGAUACUGGAUGGCUUGGAUCCGGGAGAGGGAUGCGGAAUUCCAGGUGUAGCGGUGAAAUGCGUAGAUAUCUGGAGGAACACCGGUGGCGAAGGCGGCAUCCUGGACCGGUAUUGACGCUGAUACGCGAAAGCUAGGGGAGCAAACAGG